rnacentral:rRNA from 1 species
AGCAGUCGCCGCGGGAAUACAGAGGAUGCAAGCGUUGUCCGGAAUGAUUGGGCGUAAAGCGAGCGCAGGCGGUUAGAUAAGUCUGAAGUUAAAGGCUGUGGCUUAACCAUAGUACGCUUUGGAAACUGUUUAACUUGAGUGCAAGAGGGGAGAGUGGAAUUCCAUGUGUAGCGGUGAAAUGCGUAGAUAUAUGGAGGAACACCGGUGGCGAAAGCGGCUCUCUGGCUUGUAACUGACGCUGAGGCUCGAAAGCGUGGGGAGCAAACAGGAUUAGAUACCCCAGUAGUCCCUGUCUCUUAUACA